CAAGGAAACAGCACAAUCAGAUCUGUCAUUUACAAAGACAGCCUAAGCAGCAGCAUGACAAAUGGCUAGGAGAUGAACUGGACAGGGAUGAGAAGACCAUGGCCAAGAGUUACAACCUCCCCCAGAGAGGCCUCCCUGACUACUCACUCUUCAUCCCUGAACUUGUAUAGCACUUGGUCCAAUAGGGGCUGCUUCCCAAAGAUUAUGUAAGCCUGCAUCACUUGAUAUUGUUUGCAGUAGUAGAAAGAAGGCUCUGGAACCAGGUCUUAUUUUGGACAAAUAGCAACUCCCUCCAAAUUCCAACUGUCCAGAAAUUGAAGACCAGUUUGCAAUAUGGCCUGACCUGAAAAGAAUGUUGUUUUUCCUAAAAUGAAACUUUUACCAGUCUAGCAAAUAUAUUUGACUCUUGAACAAACCAGGUUUGAACAGCACUGGUCCAUUUAUAUGCAGACCUACAGUAGAGUCCUAAAUGUAUUUUCUCU